CCUACGGGUGGCAGCAGUGAGGAAUUUUGGUCAAUGGGCGCGAGCCUGAACCAGCCAAGUAGCGUGAAGGAUGACUGCCCUACGGGUUGUAAACUUCUUUUAUAAAGGAAUAAAGUGAGGCACGUGUGCCUUUUUGUAUGUACUUUAUGAAUAAGGAACGGCUAACUCUGUGCCAGCAGCCGCGGUAAUACGGAGGAUCCGAGCGUUAUCCGGAUUUUUUGGGUUUAAAGGGAACGUAGAUGGGUUGUUAAGUCAGGUGUGAAAGUUUGGGGCUCAACCGUAAAAUUGCAAUUGAUACUGGCAGCCUUGAGUACAGUUGAGGUAGGCGGAAUUCGUGGUGUAGCGGUGAAAUGCGUAGAUAUCACGAAGAACUCCGAUUGCGAAGGCAGCCUACUAAACUGCCACUGACGUUGAUGCUCGAAAGUGUGGGCAGCAAACAGGAUUAGAUACCCCGGUAGUC
rnacentral:rRNA from 1 species